ACAGAAGACGAAGAGCUGGAAUAGAGCUCGCCUCGGCUCUGCUGGCCUUGGCUGCAGCUCUUCCAGAAACCCGGGGCGCCCACAGAAGAAUCUCUUACCUGGCUCUCUCUUCAGGGAUGACAUCAUCGGCUCACACCAGUCUUCCAGGACCACCUUCUGGAUGCCAAGGCUGCUGCUCGAGUACCUGCUGUGCACCUCUACCUCCUGGUACCCCAGCCACUCCCUCAAGUUGCCUGCAUGUUAUAUGGCCUAGCCAAGGAGCACGGAUUCCAGGAACCCACUACCAUACAGAGCAACUCCUUGUGGACCCCCCUGGGAUCAGGACAGCGAGGGACAAGCGACAAAGAGGAUCAUCAGUGGCCAGCUAGUUUCUCUGGGGUUCAAACCUUGAACCAGUGCCCUAGUGAGGGGGCACUGGCCAUGGCCCUUGACCUUUGCUCUGCUUGUGUCUUGAGUCUGAGCCCUUUCCUGUACAUCUGUGCUCGUGUUCAUCUGCUAGUGAACUGGAGUGCUGCCCUCCCCGAGGAGGGUCGUCCCUUGUGACUGAUCAUGCUGUCCUAACAAUGUCCUGAGCAAAAGGGUCCCUUUGGGAACCUCUCAGGAGGGGGACCCGGGUCAGGGGCGACCAGCAUCUUGCUGGCAACUCCGUGGGUGGGGUGGGGUGGGGUGCUUCCUUCUGGAAUGAGCACGUGGCUGACCCCCCAAGGCAUGUCCCCUCCCCCUCCUCCACCCACCUUCUCGGAGAUGUCCCUUUUGGGGUAGUGGGGACAUUAGGAGCAACCUCCUAGGGUUGUUGUGAGAAUUAAAUGAACUGCAGCAGCCUGAGGCAGGGCUGGGCAGAGACCUCAGCACAUGUUUGUUGAAAGGUUUGCAGGUGGAUCUAGUCCUCCCGUUCAUGGCUCAUGUGUCUCAACCAUUCUCUCGCAGACUCCUGCAGCCCCUAUGCCCAGGGCUCUCCUUGCGCCAGCCCCGGCUUCUCGAGGCCUGUCUACACUCGCUGCUUUCCUUCCUCACCUCCAAUUUCCCCUCCAACCCACUGCUUCCUGACUCGCUCUUCUCCAUCGAACGGCUCUCGCUCAGCCUCCCUCUGUUUGUCUCCCUCCCUCUCCCAAUUGGAUCUGGCCCCUGUUGGGGUGCCCCUAGGCCACCCCUUCCUCUUCUGGGUGUCCCAGCACCAACCCGGUUUAAGGCUUGGCUUGCUGGCCCUGGAGAUCCCGUCGCCGUCUUCGUCGAACUCGAAAUCCUAGCCAUCGUCCUUCCCUGGCCUGUCGCGUCUUCCUGUGCCAUUUGCUGUUGUGCUCAGGUUCCACGAGCUGCCCAUCUCCACAGAAGAGCAGCUGGCAUUGCCCACCGGCCAUGCCGGCUGAAGAAAAGAAGACUGAGGACCCCAGGAUGCCCAGCGCGAGGACCCCAGGAAGCCCAGCGCGAGGACUCCACCCACGACGCCCAGCGCGAGGACUUCACGCACAACACGUUGCAACCCUCCUGGAUUAGGCCAAAGCCAUCAUCUGGAAUCCUGCGUGGGACCCUGGACACACGGACACAGACACCUGCCCCCAGGACCCUCCAACUGUAAAUCGAUUGGAAGCGCCCUUGUGAGCUGGGGCCUUCAAAGGGCUGAGGAGAAAAUGCAGGCCGAGAGACCAGCUUCUCAAAUAGGCUUCAAGCCUCCAUGACCUGAGCUCACCCCCUGGAAAUGUCUGGAAAACAUAAUGGGCAGGUUUUCUGUCUUCAAAGUUUCCAUCAAAACCUCUUCAAGUUCUUUAUUGUUUAGGACUGAGACACUUGGGGACAGUAAUGGGGACUUUCUUUUGUAUCUGUCUUGAAAGGCCAAAAUAUUUUUAUAUUGCUGUAGACAAAGCCACCUAUUUACAAAUGGACUCUUGUUCCGUCGUUUCCCACCAGGAAGACCGUACUAUGUUUGUGUCUCUAUGUAUUCUGGGGUCUUGAAACAGGUUUCUCAUGGGGAUGGCCAUUCACUAGAGCCCAGAGGGGCAGAAGGGGAAGUGUCUACCCUGCCAAGGGGGUCUGGGGAAGGAGGGGGGCUAGUCUCAGAUUUGCUCCUUGUAUGUCUAGGGUAAACCCUGGGAGAAUCUGGUGGUAAAAGAACAUAUGCUGUGUUUGCCCCA
rnacentral:lncRNA from 1 species